rnacentral:rRNA from 1 species
ACGGUUGCUAAUACCCCGUAGGCUGAGGAGCAAAAGGAGGAAUCCGCCCGAGGAGGGGCUUGCGUCUGAUUAGCUAGUUGGUGAGGCAAUAGCUUACCAAGGCUACGAUCAGUAGCUGGUCUGAGAGGAUGAUCAGCCACACUGGGACUGAGACACGGCCCAGACUCCUACGGGAGGCAGCAGUGAGGAAUUUUCCGCAAUGGGCGAAAGCCUGACGGAGCAAUGCCGCGUGGAGGAAGAAAGCCUACGGGUCGUAAACUUCUUUUCUCGGAGAGGAAACAAUGACGGUAUCUGAGGAAUAAGCAUCGGCUAACUCUGUGCCAGCAGCCGCGGUAAGACAGAGGACGCAAGCGUUAUCCGGGAUGAUUGGGCGUAAAGCGUCUGUAGGUGGCUUUGCAAGUCCGCCGUCAAAUCCCAGGGGCUCAACCCUGGACAGGCGGUGGAAACUACCA